rnacentral:rRNA from 1 species
GUCGAGAAUCUUCCGCAAUGGGCGAAAGCCUGACGGAGCGACACCGCGUGCAGGACGAAGGCCCUCGGGUUGUAAACUGCUGUCACGCUCUAGGAAUGCCGUGUCGUUAAUAGCGGCACGGUUGACCAAGGCGAAAGGAAGUGGCGGCUAACUCUGUGCCAGCAGCCGCGGUAAGACAGAGGCCACGAACGUUGUUCGGAAUCACUGGGCAUAAAGCGCACGUAGGCGGCUAGGUCCGUCCGAUGUGAAAGCCCCCGGCUCAACCGGGGAAUAGCAUCGGAUACAGCCUGGCUUGAGGACGGUUGGGGUGAGUGGAACUCCUGGUGGAGCGGUGAAAUGCGUAGAUAUCAGGAGGAACACCGGUGGCGAAAGCGGCUCACUGGACCGUUACUGACGCUGAGGUGCGAAAGCUAGGGGAGCAAACGGGAUUAGAUACCCCAGUAGUCC